rnacentral:tRNA from 1 species
GGAAAUCUUCUUUUUAAGUGUAAAUGCACAUAAAAAUUUGAUUUUUAAAGAGGACAC